rnacentral:rRNA from 1 species
GACGAACGCUGGCGGCGUGCUUAACACAUGCAAGUCGAACGGAGUGGCGAACGGGUGAGUAACACGUUGGUGAUCUGCCUUGCACUUCGGGAUAAGCUUGGGAAACUGGGUCUAAUACCGGAUAGUGCAAGAUGAGCCCGCGGUCUAUAAGCGUGUUGGUGGGGUAAUGGCCUACCAAGGCGUCGACGGGUAGCCGGCCUGAGAGGGUGUACGGCGCAAUUGGGAAUGAUAUAAGGCCCAGACUCCAACGGGAGGCGGCAGUUGGGAAGUUUGCGCAAUGGGCGGAAAACUGAUGCAGCGACGCCGCGUAGGAGAUGAAGGCCUUCGGGUUGUAAACUCCUUUCGACAGGGACGCGGUACCUGUAUAAGAAGCACCGGCUAACUACGUGCCAGCCGCCGCGGUAAUAC